rnacentral:ribozyme from 14 species
AAAAAAGGUAGAGCAGGCUGAUCACCUUUAUGAUGGUGCUUUUGUUGUUGUUCCAUGAUUUUGUUUUUUUUUCUAUCAUUUUUAU